rnacentral:rRNA from 1 species
CCUACGGGUGGCAGCAGUGAGGAAUAUUGGUCAAUGGGCGAGAGCCUGAACCAGCCAAGUCGCGUGAAGGAUGACGGCCCUACGGGUUGUAAACUUCUUUUGUCAGGGAGCAAUUGGGUCCACGCGUGGGCUUAGCGAGAGUACCUGAAGAAAAAGCAUCGGCUAACUCCGUGCCAGCAGCCGCGGUAAUACGGAGGAUUCAAGCGUUAUCCGGAUUUAUUGGGUUUAAAGGGUGCGUAGGCGGUCGGAUAAGUUAGAGGUGAAAUCCCGAGGCUCAACUUCGGAAUUGCCUCUGAUACUGUUCGGCUAGAGAGUAGUUGCGGUAGGCGGAAUGUAUGGUGUAGCGGUGAAAUGCUUAGAGAUCAUACAGAACACCGAUUGCGAAGGCAGCUUACCAAGCUACUUCUGACGUUGAGGCACGAAAGCGUGGGGAGCAAACAGGAUUAGAUACCCUUGUAGUC